UACAGAGGGGGGCAAGCGUUGUUCGGAAUUACUGGGCGUAAAGGGCGCGUAGGCGGCCCGCUAAGUCGAACGUGAAAUCCCUGGGCUCAACCCAGGAACUGCGUCCGAUACUGGCGGGCUUGAAUCCGGGAGAGGGAUGUGGAAUUCCAGGUGUAGCGGUGAAAUGCGUAGAUAUCUGGAGGAACACCGGUGGCGAAGGCGGCAUCCUGGACCGGUAUUGACGCUGAUGCGCGAAAGCCAGGGGAGCAAACGGG
rnacentral:rRNA from 1 species